rnacentral:rRNA from 1 species
UACGGAGGGUGCGAGCGUUAAUCGGAAUUACUGGGCGUAAAGCGCGCGUAGGCGGUUCAUUAAGUCCGCUGUGAAAGCCCUGGGCUUAACCUGGGAAUUGCAGUGGAUACUGAUGGGCUAGAGUGUGGUAGAGGGUAGUGGAAUUUCCGGUGUAGCAGUGAAAUGCGUAGAGAUCGGAAGGAACACCAGUGGCGAAGGCGGCUAUCUGGACCAACACUGACGCUGAGGUGCGAAAGCGUGGGGAG